GACGAACGCUGGCGGCGUGCUUAACACAUGCAAGUCGAACGGAAAGGCCCAGCUUGCUGGGUACUCGAGUGGCGAACGGGUGAGUAACACGUGGGUGAUCUGCCCUCCACUCUGUGAUAAGCCUUCGAAACUGGGUCUAAUACCGGAUAUGACCGACUGUCCCACGGUGGUUGGUGGAAAGCUUUUGCGGUGUGGGAUGGGCCCGCGGCCUAUCAGCUUGUUGGUGGGGUAAUGGCCUACCAAGGCGACGACGGGUAGCCGACCUGAGAGGGUGAUCGGCCACACUGGGACUGAGACACGGCCCAGACUCCUACGGGAGGCAGCAGUGGGGAAUAUUGCACAAUGGGCGGAAGCCUGAUGCAGCGACGCCGCGUGAGGGAUGACGGCCUUCGGGUUGUAAACCGCUUUCACCAGGGACGAAGCGUGAGUGACGGUAACUGGAGAAGAAGCACCGGCCAACUACGUG
rnacentral:rRNA from 1 species